rnacentral:rRNA from 1 species
UGGGGAAUAUUGGACAAUGGGCGAAAGCCUGAUCCAGCAAUGCCGCGUGAGUGAUGAAGGCCUUAGGGUUGUAAAGCUCUUUUACCAGGGAUGAUAAUGACAGUACCUGGAGAAUAAGCUCCGGCUAACUCCGUGCCAGCAGCCGCGGUAAUACGGAGGGAGCUAGCGUUGUUCGGAAUUACUGGGCGUAAAGCGCACGUAGGCGGCGACUCAAGUCAGAGGUGAAAGCCCGGGGCUCAACCCCGGAACUGCCUUUGAAACUAGGUUGCUAGAAUCCUGGAGAGGUGAGUGGAAUUCCGAGUGUAGAGGUGAAAUUCGUAGAUAUUCGGAAGAACACCAGUGGCGAAGGCGACUCACUGGACAGGUAUUGACGCUGAGGUGCGAAAGCGUGGGGAGCAAACAGGAUUAGAUACCUGGUAGUCCACGCGUAAACGAUGAUAACUAGCUGUCCGGGCACUUGGUGCUUGGGUGGCGCAGCUAACGCAUUAAGUUAUCCGCCUGGGGAGUACGGUCGCAAGAUUAAAACUUAAAUGAAUU